rnacentral:rRNA from 1 species
AUUGAACGCUGGCGGCGUGCUUAUCACAUGCAAGUCGAUCGGUAACGCGGGGGCAACCCUGGCGACGAGAGGCGGACGGGUGAGGAACGCUUGGGAAUCUGCCUAUCAGCGGGGGACAACACGGGGAAACUCGUGCUAAUACCGCAUACGCUCUACGGAGGAAAGCCGGGGACCGCAAGGCCUGGCACUGAUAGAUGAGCCCAAGCCGGAUUAGCUAGUUGGCGGGGUAACGGCCCACCAAGGCGACGAUCCGUAGCUGGUCUGAGAGGACGAUCAGCAACACUGGGACCGAGAAAAGGCCCAGACUCCUACGGGAGGCAGCAGUGGGGAAUAUUGGACAAUGGGGGAAACCCUGAUCCAGCGACGCCGCGUGGGUGAAGAAGGCCUGCGGGUUGUAAAGCCCUUUCGGUAGGGACGAAAGCUCUCGACCUAACACGUCGGGAGGUUGACUUAACCUACAAAAGAAGCACCGGCUAACUCUGUGCCAGCCGCCGCAGUAAUAC